AGAAUGUUGAGCAGAAAGGAAAUUAGCUACUUGCGCUGUUCUGCAGAGCACUGGUGGAAGAGUUUAUGCAGUGCUAGAAGAGAUACUGAUCAAUAUUCAGCCUUUCCAAGUGCAAAUGUGGAUGCUCAACAGGGAACUCAAAGCAGAGAAUGCCAUAGAUAUACAAACAAUCAAGACAAUAUUGAACAAAUACCUUGCUAUGCAAUUUUAAAUAAAGC